UACGUAGGCAGCAAGCGUUGUUCGGAGUUACUGGGCGUAAAGGGUGUGUAGGCGGUUCUCUAAGUCUGGUGUGAAAUCUCCCGGCUUAACUGGGAGGGUGCGCCGGAAACUGGAGUGCUCGAGCGUGGGAGAGGAAAGCGGAAUUCCUGGUGUAGCGGUGAAAUGCGUAGAUAUCAGGAGGAACACCUGCGGUGUAGACGGCUUUCUGGACCAUUGCUGACGCUGAGACACGAAAGCGUGGGUAGCAAACAGG
rnacentral:rRNA from 1 species